GGUGCGUGUCCUUAAUAGAAAAUGCAGUGUUUAUCCAACACAAGAAGCAUGAGGUUGAAAAGCGGACGCAAUUUCCGACACGCGCC
rnacentral:sRNA from 12 species